rnacentral:rRNA from 1 species
GACGAACGCUGGCGGCGUGCUUAACACAUGCAAGUCGAACGGAAAGGCCCUGCUUUUGUGGGGUGCUCGAGUGGCGAACGGGUGAGUAACACGUGAGUAACCUGCCCUUGACUUUGGGAUAACUUCAGGAAACUGGGGCUAAUACCGGAUAGGAGCUCCUGCUGCAUGGUGGGGGUUGGAAAGUUUCGGCGGUUGGGGAUGGACUCGCGGCUUAUCAGCUUGUUGGUGGGGUAGUGGCUUACCAAGGCUUUGACGGGUAGCCGGCCUGAGAGGGUGACCGGCCACAUGGGGACUGAGAUACGGCCCAGACUCCUACGGGAGGCAGCAGUGGGGAAUAUUGCACAAUGGGCGGAAGCCUGAUGCAGCAACGCCGCGUGCGGGAUGACGGCCUUCGGGUUGUAAACCGCUUUCGCCUGUGACGAAGCGUGAGUGACGGUAAUGGGGAAAGAAACACCGGCGAACUACGU